rnacentral:rRNA from 1 species
AUGCCUCCUAUUUAUGAUGAUUAUAUUGAUGAAAGUGGGUUUGGAAGAGUAUCAACUUUAGGUAGUAUUGAUCCCACUAUUUUGAAGGAUAUUGAAUUUUAUUGUGAUGAAUAUGAAAGUGGAUUUGGAAGAGUGUCAAUUUUAUUUAGUGAUGAUUUCACUAUUUCGGAAGAGGUUCCAAUUGAUUAUGAGAACAAAGUUGCUAUUUAUAAUGAUUAUUGUGAUGACUUGUAUGCUAUUAAGAAUAAUGAUAACCAUGAAACUUGUCAUCAUGAUUUUAGUUUUCAAUUGGAUUAUGCCUCACAUGAUAAUUAUUUUGUUGAGUUUGCUCCCACCAUUCCGAAUGAGAAGAAUUUUGCUUAUGUGGAGAGUAGUAAAUUUUUUAUGCUUGUAGAUCAUGAAAAGAACUUUAUGUGCUGGUUAUAUUGUUGA